rnacentral:rRNA from 1 species
CCUACGGGAGGCAGCAGUGAGGAAUAUUGGUCAAUGGGCGCGAGCCUGAACCAGCCAAGUCGCGUGAGGGAGGACGGCCCUACGGGUUGUAAACCUCUUUUGCCGGGGAGCAACGGGCGCCACGUGUGGCGUCACUGCGAGUACCCGGAGAAAAAGCAUCGGCUAACUCCGUGCCAGCAGCCGCGGUAAGACGGGGGAUGCGAGCGUUAUCCGGAUUUAUUGGGUUUAAAGGGUGCGUGGGCGGUUCGUUAAGUCAGUGGUCAAAUUGAGGGGCUCAACCCCUUCCCGCCAUUGAAACUGGCGUUCUUGAGUGGAAGAGAAGUAUGCGGAAUGCGGGGUGUAGCGGUGAAAUGCAUAGAUAUCACGCAGAACCCCGAUUGCGAAGGCAGCAUGCCGGCUUCCGACUGACGCUGAAGCACGAAAGCGUGGGGAUCGAACAGGAUUAGAUACCCCUGUAGUC